GUCUCAGACUGAGGGAAAAGCAUAAAGAAACGCUGGCUGUGGACGCACCUUGGAAGGAGGCAAAGGAGAAAAGAAAGCAAGCACCCGACACAGCCCAGCGAGGCCCCAAGGAGGCCCCACGCCCCACUGCCUGUCUGCACUCUGCUGAAACCCACAUCCACGCCCCCAGGCCAGCUGGCAUCUUCCACGCUUCCCUGCUCUCUUGGGGCCUCCUCCCUCACGCCCUCAGUGUCACCUCGCCCUUUGCCCAAGACCAACAGACACCUGCCCACACGCAUGCAGGCCCAGAGUGGCCCGACCAGGCUUCCUCGCCCCUUGUUCUGUCCAGACACAAAGCUGACAUGGGAGUCCGGUCGGCAGACUCAUCCCCACACCCUGUACAAAGCUGGACACCCGCGGAGACCUCCGGAAGCCAAGAUCUAAGCGCUUCGAUCCCACAUUCACAAGCCCCCUCAGCGGGGAUUCCCAGACGCACGCUUCUCCUGAGAGAGUCCAGCCCCUCCUGGCGGCCGUGGUCCCUGGAUGCGGGUGCUCGAGGCCUGUGUGGGUAAUCACGCUUCCCGUCUCCACGCCACCCUUCCCCCACAGAGUCGCCUGCCCUUCCACACAGACAAGGGGCCACAAGGCCGCACCUUCCCCUCUCCACACAGCCUGCGAAGGCAUCGCAGAUGCCAUUCUGAUUAGCAAAUGCUGCCUCUGCUCCACCACGCACCUGUUCUGUGGCUCAGCUCUGCCACUGGCCCUCCAGAAGGUUUUCUCAGCUAACCCCACUGGCCUCCACCUCCCCUCCCAGGGUUCUCUCACAUAAGAGUUACUAGAUGCAGGGCAGUGCUUCCCAGACCUUACUGUGCGGGGGAAAUGUGUGUCCGGGAUCUGGUUAAAAUGCAGACUGGGAUUCCGCAUCGCUGACAAGCCCCCAGGUGAUACCAACGCUACUGGUCUGCAGGCCACACUUUUGAGUAGUGAGAAGGUGGAGGUAAGAGUGAGGACUCUGAGUCAGGGAAAGUGUGUUCUGGCCCCAGCUCCACCAGAACUAAGCAUUACAUCUCAUGAGACUGCCGUGAGGGCUGCAUGAGGUAAUGCAGUGUCUGGCUGUCGCGGGAACGCAGCGUGCACUCGCAAAUGCAAAUUCUCUUCCUCUUGCUCCAGUCUUCUCCCUGUGGCGGUGGUGAGUGUAAUGCCUCAGAAGACUCUGCCAGGGCAUUAAACAAAGUCAUACGCGAACCCCCCGGUGCACGGCAGUGGCAGAGGAGGUGAAGCCACGGGCCUUGAUGCUGUCAAGGUCUCGGGAGCCCUCCUCGCUGCGCUGGCCCCUGCUGCAGAGCCCGUCAUCAGAAGAAAGUGAUUUUUUUCCUAUGGGUUCUGACAGUUAAGGCCCUGGUGCCUCUUGAUGGCAAUCAGAGGGACUGGAAAACUCACUCUCUGCCUCAUUCCAACACUACCUACGGGUGGGACCCUCCCUGGGCCUCCUGGCCUGCAGCCUGGGGUCUCCAAGCUGCCUCAGGGCUUUCCGUCCCAUGUUCUGCCCGAGCCCUGAGCGGCCCUGUUGACUUGGGACAUGUGCCCCUUGGCUUGGCAGGGCUGCUGCUUCUCCCUUUCCAUCUCAUUGCUUCAAGCACAGACCAUUCCACAAUCACAAUGUAUUUACUUUCCAAAGCUGUGGAUACCAAAGGAAAAACUGUGGUAGCAGAGUACGGUGUAAUUAACGUGGAAUGUACCAGGGGAACCGAGGACAUGGCAGACAGACACCGCGUUCUCAAACAACCGCUUGCUGUUGAAGAGGGUCUAUUUUCUCCUCUCCCUCUCCCUUCCCAAGAGAUUAAAAUAAUAAACUCUAAGAAAUAAAUAAACGUGCUCAGCUUCACACAUACGAGGUUGACCCUGGCGCAGGUGCGUGGACUCACGUGUGGGGUAGCAGCUGGACAGCCAUGAUCUGUGUCCAUCACCACCCAGGCAUCAUGACCACAGAGAGACAUAUUUAGCACACACAUUACAGUGCC
rnacentral:lncRNA from 10 species